rnacentral:rRNA from 1 species
AGCGGCGGACGGGUGAGUAACACGUGAGAAUUUGCCCUUUAGUGAGGAAUACCCUCGAGAAAUCGGGGUUAAUACUGCAUAACUCUCUUCGGAGAAAAAGGUGGCCUCUUGCUGCCGCUAAAGGAUAAGCUUGCGGACUAUUAGCUUGUUGGUGGGGUAAAGGCCUACCAAGGCUUUGAUGGAUAGCCGGCCUGAGAGGGUGAUCGGCCACACUGGAACUUAGACACGGUCCAGACUCCUACGGGAGGCAGCAGUGGGGAAUAUUGCGCAAUGGGCGAAAGCCUGACGCAGCGACGCCGCGUGAAGGAUGAAGGUCUUCGGAUUGUAAACUUCUGUUAAGUGGGAAGAAAGAACGCUCUUUAAUAGAGAGCGGAGAUGACGGUACCAUUAGAGAAAGCACCGGCUAACUUCGUGCCAGCAGCCGCGGUAAUACGAGGGGUGCUAGCGUUAUUCGGAAUUAUUGGGCGUAAAGGGUGCGCAGACGGCGCGCUAAGUCUGCUGUUUAAUUCUCCGGCCUAACCGGAGGUCGGCGGUGGAUACUGGCAUGCUAGAGGGUGGAAGAGAGAAGUGGAAUUCUCGGAGUAGCGGUAAAAUGCGUAGAUCUCGAGAGGAACACCGAUGGCGAAGGCAGCUUCUUGGUCCAUUCCUGACGUUCAUGCACGAAAGCGUGGGGAGCAAACAGGAUUAGAUACCCUGGUAG